GAUCAGGUAGGGAUACCCGCUGAACUUAAGCAUAUC
rnacentral:rRNA from 2 species